UACAAUGCCCUGUUGCGUAUUUAAGUUGUCUGCAAAGGAUUCAGCCCACCGCCCGUUGGGAAGGGAGCUUCGAGGCGGCCGGCCGCGGCACGUCGGCCGGACAGGCUUAGCCAAUGGCACGGGCCCUUGGGGGGCAAGCGCCCCUAACGUGGGAGAUCGGAAGAG